GUGAUGAACUCAAGAGAGUAAAAAAAAGUCUAGAACUGAGACCCAGUAUAUAUAUAGAUGGGUGAAGAGUCUAGGUUAAGAGGGUAGAUAUGGUGAGUUUAGAUACAGCUCGGAUAUCCUCUGCCUUCAAUUUUUUAAAGUUAAUAGUAUGAUGGGAGAUGGCGAUAGAAUAGGCGAUCUAGGGUUUCACGCUCUUGAUGCCUUCUCACCGAUGGGAUCCAGGAAUUGACGGCGGGGUUGUGUUAGGAAAGAGGAAUCAUAAAGGGCGGAGUAAAAGAAUUUCAUUCAGGGGAUUUUCUUCAAAUCUCCGAUGUUGUGGAUCGGGUACAGGAAAUUGGUUUAAACGGAUUUUUUGGAAAUCAAGACAUCUGCGAAAUGGAUCUCGAUAUUGGCAAUUAUACCGGUGAAUUCGCAUGAUUACUCAGAUAUGGAGAUUGGUGAUUUGCGGUGGCUUAACAGGGACUGGGGGCUUGGAGUGGUUAACAGGGAAAUGGGUUCUCUGGUUGGUCUCAUUAAACCAACCACAGAAAACAGAGUUAAU